rnacentral:rRNA from 1 species
GACGAACGCUGGCGGCGUGCUUAACACAUGCCAGUCGAACGGAAAGGCCCUGCUUUUGUGGGGUGCUCGAGUGGCGAACGGGUGAGUAACACGUGAGUAACCUGCCCUUGACUUUGGGAUAACUUCAGGAAACUGGGGCUAAUACCGGAUAGGAGCUCCUGCUGCAUGGUGGGGGUCGGAAAGUUUCGGCGGUUGGGGAUGGACUCGCGGCUUAUCAGCUUGUUGGUGGGGUAGUGGCUUACCAAGGCUUUGACGGGUAGCCGGCCUGAGAGGGUGACCGGCCACAUUGGGACUGAGAUACGGCCCAGACUCCUACGGGAGGCAGCAGUGGGGAAUAUUGCACAAUGGGCGGAAGCCUGAUGCAGCAACGCCGCGUGCGGGAUGACGGCCUUCGGGUUGUAAACCGCUUUCGCCUGUGACGAAGCGUGAGUGACGGUAAUGGGUAAAGAAGCACCGGCUAACUACGUG